CGGGGUCUUCCCACAGGAGCCCCGCUUGCUCUGAUAACCCGUAAGGCUUUCUGCGCACAGACCGGUGACUUGCCCAGUGGUGAGCAGUGCUCUGCACUUGUAUUUAUGCUGACGGCUGGCGUUCAUGACUAGACUGGCUCUUGAAGUUACAGUAAGGUAAGCGAUGCCUCAAGUACCGCAGAAGCCCCAGGGGUCGCUAAUAGCGCCUCCACUAGCAGCACCUGCCUGUGCCCAAGCAGAAUUAUCCACAAAUGAAAGAAAAGUGGUAUUUACCAACUAUCUACAGGCGCCAGGCGUUGAGACAUCAAGUGUCAUCCAACGUGAAAGGUACAGGAUUAGUAAUAAUGUCAAAACCGUGUAAGAAUAAUGGCUAGCAGGCCUGUGCUAAAUUUUCACAUGGAAGUUAACUGUCGACACAUACUUCGUCUUAUAAAACCCCCCAAGAUGACCUUCUUGUGACUUUAUGCAUCAAGCCCUGACACCCUCAGUCUGCCUCCCCUACGCCGGACUGGCCGGGCACAUGGCAUAUGACUGACUUCUAGUUUGGCUCCUGGCCCACAUUUGGGCUCCGUGAGUCAGGGUCCAAAGGGGGGGACCUCCCAUGCACUCCUGGCCUUUUCGUCUUCCCUAGGACCCAGCCUGCGAGUGGAUGGGCUUAGUCCCAGCUUCCUGCAGGACGAAUGUCCCCAUCUCCAUGGUCUGCAGGAGGCAGAGGGACGGGUACAGCCCUGUGCACGGCAGACUUGCCUCUACCCCGCAGCUCUGCACUGUUUCCUGGUACUGACAGUUUCCCAAACGUCCCCAACCACACUGAGGAGAAGGCGAGUGCAGAGAGGUCUGAAGAGGCCGACCUUGGAGACGGGAGUGACGCCGCCACAAGGUAAGCAAUGCGGGCAGCCCCCGGGAACGGGAAGGGCUUCUCCCCGACAGCCCCUGUGGGGAGCCCACCCUCUCACACCGUGACUUCAGCCUGGGGACACGGCUUGCAGAUCUCUGGCCUCCAGAACUCUGUUGUUUCGAGCCACCAAAUUUGCAGCUCUGGGAAGCGAA
rnacentral:lncRNA from 1 species